GUGGAUUGGGUCUUGUUUAGGUAAAAGACUUCAGUGGCAGACAAAGGAGGAGUAAUAAGAUCGCUAGGGGGCCCGUGCCCAGCCCACCCACGCACAAUCUCAGUCCUCGCAAUACCCACAAGGUAGGUGCUAGGAUCACACCCUUUACGGACGCGGCACCUGCGACAGGGAUGCGCGAGGAGUCAGGGGGCCUCGCCGGAUCGAACCUAAGCUGGGGAAGAGUAUUUCUUGUAUUUUUAGGAGAAAUUCUCAGCCUCGGGGAAGAGUAUUUCUUGAUGAGGGAAGAGCGCGGGGAAGACACUCACGCACGCACAAACAUGUGGGCGGCCAUGGUGUGCCCAGCGCCGUGCUGGCUUCUGGGAACCCCCAGUGGACAAGACGGACAAGGUACCGGCUCUCAGGGGAAGUGGGAGCCAGUCACAAGCGUACCUAAUUUCGGAGAGUGACAAGUACUCUGAAAAAGAAAGAAGGUAGGGCUGGUGACUGGCCAAUUUAAGCGGGCAGGAGUCUGCUGGGGGACGGAGACCAGCCUCAGGUCUGGGUUGGGGACAGAAGCUGUGCCUAAGUGUGGUGCAGGAUGCAGUUGCAAAGGAGCGCUUCCGAUCGCACUUGAUGCUCGCCACGUCCCUGCAAAGUGCUCCCGCCCCCUUUCUGCAAAUGAGGAAACGGGACGCGCGGCUCGCCGGGCCAGCCCGCGUGCCUGCGCAGUCCCCUCCCCGAGAACCAUCCCCUUGCCCCGCCCAGCGUCAGGGGUGCGCGGCCGCCGAGAGACCCCGGAGGCGUAGCCGGCUGCGGAGGCGAAGAGGUGGCAGCGCGAGCUGGGACCAGCGUCUCGGAGGCGCCGCAGAGACAGGAUCUUGCUGUAUUGCCCAGGCCGGUCUUGAACUCCUGAGUUCAAGCAGUCCACCUUGGCCUCCCAAAAUGCUGGGAUUACAAGCAUGAGCCACCAUGCCUGGUCUGAUUUUGGAAAAAUUAAAGAAUAUGGAGAUAGCUUGGUGAAAGAGACCCAGAUGGUUUGGGAUUUCUGUUUUUAUAUAAGAGCAGUGUCCCAAGAGACAGCGAAAACCCCAGCUCGGAGCCCACAGAGCCCAUCCUUCAUCUGCUCCUGUGUGUGCGUUUUCCUUCUGUGCUGUCCCGUGUAGAACAGCGAGAGUCCAACCAGCCUGAUGAGUCUCAUGAGAUGAGGAAUGGUGGCUUAGGAAGCAUUUUGGAUAAUUCACAGAUGGAUUCAGUGGAAAAGACAACAAAUAGAAGUGAACAAAAAUCCAGAAAGUUUUUAAAAAGCCUCAUCCGGAAACAGCCCCAGGAACUGCUCCUGGUUAUCGGGACUGGCGUCAGCGCAGCAGUGGCCCCCGGAAUCCCUGCCCUUUGCUCGUGGAGAAGCUGCAUCGAGGCCGUCAUCGAGGCUGCAGAGCAGCUGGAGGUGCUGCACCCCGGAGACGUCGCCGAGUUCCGGAGGAAAGUGACAAAGGACCGGGACCUGUUGGUUGUCGCCCAUGAUCUGAUCCGGAAGAUGUCACCUCGCACAGGCGAUGCCAAGCCCAGCUUCUUCCAGGACUGCCUGAUGGAGGUGUUUGACGACCUGGAGCAGCACAUCCGGAGUCCUGUGGUGCUGCAGUCGAUCCUCAGCCUGAUGGACAGGGGCGCCAUGGUCCUGACCACCAACUAUGACAACCUGCUGGAGGCCUUUGGCCGGCGGCAGAACAAGCCCAUGGAGUCCCUGGACUUGAAGGACAAGACCAAGGUCCUUGAAUGGGCAAGAGGGCACAUGAAGUACGGCGUCCUCCACAUUCACGGCCUCUACACGGACCCCUGCGGGGUGGUGCUGGACCCAUCGGGGUAUAAAGACGUCACUCAAGACGCAGAAGUCAUGGUACGGCCCGUCCUAAUUAGCAUCGGAAGUCCUCCAGAACUUAUACCGCACCAAGUCCUUUCUGUUUGUGGGCUGUGGGGAGACCCUUCGUGAUCAGAUAUUCCAGGCCCUCUUUCUUUACUCCGUGCCGAAUAAGGUGGAUUUGGAGCACUACAUGCUUGUGCUGAAGGAGAAUGAAGACCAUUUCUUUAAGCAUCAGGCAGAUAUGCUUCUGCACGGAAUCAAAGUUGUAUCCUACGGGGACUGUUUUGACCACUUUCCAGGAUAUGUGCAAGACCUUGCCACUCAGAUCUGCAAACAGCAAAGCCCAGAUGCUGAUCGCGUGGACAGCACCACAUUAUUGGGUAAUGCAUGCCAGGACUGUGCAAAGAGGAAGUUAGAAGAGAAUGGAAUUGAAGUUUCAAAAAAACGCACACAAUCAGAUACUGAUGAUGCUGGAGGGUCUUGAAAUCUUUACAGUAAAACCUGCAACUUGAAAACUAGCCUUCUGUAACCACAGUGCCCAAACGAAGAGGAAUGUAUGGAGAACUCCACGUGGAUCUCUGAUUGCGAAACCGUCACAUACACCAAGAGAGCCACAUGGGCAUGUGGCCCUCAAGGCUGGGUGAGAGGGCUCCCCUGUGUGUUGAACUAUGCAGGAGGGUGACGCGGACACAUUUCAGGUGGACUUUGCAAGGACUGAUGGAUAGCUACCUCAGGGACCAGAAUCCGUGGGAAGGGAUGGACCUGGUGUUCCCGUUCCCAUCUGACAGGCUCUCUUUUGUCAAGGUGGUAUUUUUCGUAAUAAAAGGGGAAGAGUAAAGACUGUCCAAGCAACAGUAGCUGCCAAAGAGAAAAUACGAAAUAGACACUUUUUUUUUUUGAGUCAGAGUCUCACUCUGUCACCCAGGACAGAGUGCAGUGGUACGAUCUCAAGCUCACUGCAGCCACCACCGCCUGGGCUCAAGUGAUUCUCCUGCCUCAGCCUCCCGAGUAGCUGGGAUUACAGGCGUCCACCACCAUGCCCAGCUAAUUUUUUUAUUUUUAGUAGAGUUGGAGUUUCACCAUGUUGGCCAGGAUGGUCUCGAACUCUUGACCUCAGGUGAUCCACCCGCCUUGGCCUCCCAAAGUGCUAGGAUUACAGGCAUGAGCCACUGCGCCCAGCAAAAUAAACACAUUUUAUAAUUUGUAUGUGGAAACAUGUUACUAUAGAAAGCAUUUUAAAGGUACGUUUUAAAGGUCCACUGUUAAAUAGUAAAGAAUGAAUCCGCUAGCGAAAAUGUUUUUAGGGAGAACAGCUGGAUCAAAAGGGCUUCUUUGGAAUUAGGUUGUUUUAGUAACUUCUGUUCCAAAGAAACACAGGUCUGAUAUUGCUAAGAACUGAAAUCGGAGGAGCCAGAGGCCCUUUUCAGUCCAGGCCAACAUUGUGCACGGCCACUGUGGGACUGACAACCGGGAUAGCUCAAGUUCGAGAGACCAGGUUUCAAACAUUAUAAGUUCCAGGCUUUGCAAGUCUUUAUUCUCUGGGGUAAUAUCCAGUCUUUCUGUUAUUGUCUCUUAAAAUUCUCUUCCAUGGCCCACAUUAAGGGAGUUUGCAGAGAGUGAGGGAGGCAAAACUUGAAAAGGGCCUGCAACACUUUAAACCUUCUCAGGUUCACCCACAUGAAACGGCUGUGCUGAGUGUGCUGCCGGUGCCCGGGGAGCUUCUCUGACUGUGACCCGGCAGAGGCUUCUGUGGCGGUGCAUGAGCGGCCCUACAGUGGAGGGUUCUCUUUGGAAACAAACAGCCCUGCUUGGUUUCAGUUUGAGGCCACUUAUCUUCAAUGUGACAUUUCUUGCCAAGCCCUGUGACACUCCCCAUUGAUGACUCCCAUAGGUACAGAUAAAGUUAAGAACAGGAAACAGAAGGGUAGGAUGCAUAGGGAGGGAGAGAAGCCCUGAAAACUUUUUUUUUCUUUUUGAAGCAUGGAAAACAAAUCUUUUAUGCCACUCCAGCCAUAAAUAAAAUUUUAACUUCAA